GGCUCAUUAGCUCAGUGGUAGAGCGUUAGGACUAGGGGUCCUGAAGGUCGAAGGGUUCGAAUCCCUUCAUGAGCCG